GGCCUACCAUGGUUUUUACGGGUAACGGGGAAUUAGGGUUCGAUUCCGGAGAGGGAGCCUGAGAAACGGCUACCACAUCCAAGGAAGGCAGCAGGCGCGCAAAUUACCCAAUCCCGACACGGGGAGGUAGUGACAAUAAAUAACAAUAUAGGGCUCUUUCGGGUCUUAUAAUUGGAAUGAGUACAAUUUAAAUCCCUUAACGAGGAACAAUUGGAGGGCAAGUCUGGUGCCAGCAGCCGCGGUAAUUCCAGCUCCAAUAGCGUAUAUUAAAGUUGUUGCAGUUAAAAAGCUCGUAGUUGAACUUCAGGCCUGGCUGGGCGGUCUGCCUAACGGUAUGUACUGUCUGGCUGGGUCUUACCUCUUGGUGAGCCGGUAUGCCCUUUACUGGGUGUGUUGGGGACCAGGACUUUUACUUUGAAAAAAUUAGAGUGUUUAAAGCAGGCGCACGCUUGAAUACAUUAGCAUGGAAUAAUGAAAUAGGACGUUUGAUUCUAUUUUGUUGGUUUCUAGGAUCGACGUAAUGAUUAAUAGGGAUAGUUGGGGGCAUUAGUAUUCAAUUGUCAGAGGUGAAAUUCUUGGAUUUAUUGAAGACUAACUACUGCGAAAGCAUUUGCCAAGGAUGUUUUCAUUAAUCAAGAACGAAAGUUAGGGGAUCGAAGACGAUCAGAUACCGUCGUAGUCUUAACCAUAAACUAUGCCGACUAGGGAUCGGAUGAUGUUAAUUUUAUAAUGACUCAUUCGGCGCCUUACGGGAAACCAAAGUGUUUGGGUUC
rnacentral:rRNA from 1 species